GAGAGCGUCCUUCCCGGGCACAGUGUGCACUGUGUGUGUGAAGUCUGACUAAUGUGACCCAGUGGUUAUGGGGUCCACCUGCCACGAUAGAGUGAAGGGAGUUGAACAUUCAAGGUCAUCAACCCCAGGGGAGUUGUACCUCCCAGCUUGUACAAGAGCAACUACAAGAAUUACUCAGCAGAUGGCCUCCUGAAAGGAAGUGGACCUCCAGUCUCACCUUGAAUAAUUGUGAAACUUAGUGACUUUCACACCAGACAUAUGAAGUUUCAUCCUACGGCAACAAAAGAAAUAGCUUUUCUUGGGAUUUGAGGAGGGAACAUGAAAUCAAAGAAGGAAUCAGAGAACUGAGUUAUGUAUGCCUUGGCCUCAAAGAGAUGGCAAGAUUUCUACAGAGAGAGAGGGUGGAAAGGAUAUGAAAAUCCUGAAAAGGGUGGCUGGAAGUUGUUUGAAUUUAUGGCUGGGAUGAAUCCUGGGAGGCUCCUGCAAGGUACCUUUUUGUCAGUUUUCCCUGGACUUUCCCCAGACUUCUGCAGCCUUAACUGACUUCACCAAAUUUCCAGGUGCAAACCUUGGGUCCUUCACACUGUGCCCAGCCCAGUACUGUCUGAUCCCAUAGUCCACAUGAUUCCCCUGCUUCUCUGCUCUGAUCUUUCCUCAUGUGCAUAUAUAAUAGCAAGGAAGAACUGACAUUGACCUCUACGGACGGAAGGGGUAAAGCAUGGAAGGCUUCCUGGAGGAGGAUGCAACUGAGCUGGACGGGGAUGAACUCUGUUAGCAAGAUUUCCAAAGUCUGAGAUGACUAGAACUGAAGGAAAAGGCAUGUGCAAAGGACUAACUGGGGGAGUUGGGCAUUGAGGGAUGGACAUAGGUGUAGAAAGACAACAAUAUGAGCAAAGAUUUGAGUAAUUUAGCAGGACCUGGAAAUAUGGCAGUUUCUCCUCAUAGACCUGAAGAGAGUGGACAGUCUGCCUGUCAAUCAUUGUAGCCCCUCCAAUGAUGAUGUUUGAGGGUGGGACCAUACAUAGAAAGGAGGUUAAAGAAGCCCUACCACGUGAACAGGCAAGUUUCCUUUAAAAUUUGGAUUGUAUCUUGCGGCUUCCGUGGACCGUUCCACUAAGGGAUUAUGGAAAAUGGCGGUUACCUUUUCGGCGAUCUCAAAAAAUGCUGCAUGAUUGGGUACUCUGGCCCCACCAACCACUUUCAGAAAUUCCCCUGGAUAAGGGAAAGAGGAAGUUUGUCCCAUCCACUCAUCUUAUGAGUUUCCAAGUUACCUAAUUUUCCUGCAGUGGUGCUAAGCUGACCCGCCACAGGUACAAGUGUAAUUUUUUAUCAUGGAUCUGAAUGCAGUUAAAUCCAGCUCCAUUUAGGAAAGGGGAAAAGAUGAGAUCUGUACCCCAGGGCCAGCAGAUAUCCUCAGAGAGUAUUGGGCAUCUCUUUGGAAAUCAACCUCUUUAAUUCUGCUACAAUGCCAGGAGGUUGCCCAGCAACGCACACUUUGCCUUGCUCUGAGCUGCGGUCUUUUGUGGCUCACUUGGACAGCUUACACUGAAGCUGACGUGUGUCAGCAUCAAGUUGGGGCCACAGGGAGUUUGUUAACUGGCAGUGCCAAAAAGUUCUCCUCUCUUUGCUUCCCUGUGUAAAGUUACUUCUUUUCUGGGCACUGGUUAAUUUGUUGAAAAUCAGGUGAAAGCUUUUGACAGUGGGUCAGGAGAGCGUUGAGUGUAAAUAUGAAUUACUCGAGGGUGCAUUCAAAGGCACUUCUGACCUUUAGUUUUAUAGAUCACUCCGCCCUCUGUUGCUUUAUUAGCACUGGUUUAAUCCAGAAGGUGGCAUCACAGAACCUGAUGGGAACUCACCAAAGAUUAAAAAAAAAAAAAAAACAUUUCUUUGUGAUCAGACACUAAAGUAUGUAGCCUUUUUACAACAUAGUGACUUUUUAAAGACUUCUCUAUCCCUACAAUUGGUUAAAUUAUUUUAAAGCUGUGGGAGGUAAAAACCUGAGGUUUGAGGUACUUUGCAAAACCUGUACCCAAACCCAUGUUCCUUCCCCAGGUGGUGUGACAGUGACCAAUACUGGCUUAUCUGCUUGUCAAAAGCAGCUGUUCGAUUGAACAACUGUGAUGCCUCCUUCCCCUUCCACACACGCUUGUGCCCACCGCCCGUCAAAAUCAUCUUGGGUCAUUUCAUUGAAGGGAAGGGCUGGGGAAGGUCUAAAUGAAUGGUUUAUGGGUAAAUCUGCUGAGUACUGGUACUUAAAAAU